UACGUAGGGUCCGAGCGUUGUCCGGAAUCAUUGGGCGUAAAGCGCAUGUAGGCGGUCCGGUAAGUCGGAUGUGAAAUCCCGGGGCUCAACCCCGGAACUGCAUCCGAUACUGCUGGACUUGAGGAAGGUAGAGGAGAGUGGAAUUCCCGGUGUAGCGGUGGAAUGCGCAGAUAUCGGGAGGAACACCAGCGGCGAAGGCGGCUCUCUGGGCCUCUCCUGACGCUGAGAUGCGAAAGCGUGGGUAGCGAACAGG
rnacentral:rRNA from 1 species